GGAAGAGCGCGACUCUUUCCGGGUUUCGCGGUCUGUGGAAUUGGAGUCUCUACGGCAGCCGGAGCGAGGCGGUAGUACCGCAGGCUCUGUCCCCGCCGCAGUCCUGGCCGUUCCGCGGUUGCGCGCCCGGAGCAGGACGCGUCGCCAUGGCGACGCCGGCGGGGCUGGAGCGGUGGGUGCAGGAGGAGCUGCACUCGGUGCUGGGGCUGAGCGAGCGGCACGUCGCGCAGUUCCUGAUCGGCACCGCACAGCGCUGCGCCUCCGCCGAGGAGUUCGUGCAGCGCCUGCGGGACACCGACACCCUGGACCUCGGGGGGCCGGCGCGGGACUUCGCCCUGAAGCUCUGGAGCAAGGUGCCACGGAAGGCUGUGGUGGAAAAGCCAGCUCGGGCAGCUGAGCGAGAGGCCCGAGCCCUGCUAGAGAAAAACCGUUCUUAUAAGUUGUUGGAAGACAGCGAGAGCGGCGAGGAGGCAGUGGGUAGUAACGGGAGCAGCCUCCAGAAGAAGCGGAAGAGACGGAAACACCUCAGGAAGAAACACCAGGAGGACGAGGAGGACGAGGAGGAAGAGGUUUCCGAGUCAGGGAAGAGGAAGGCAGGGGGGAGUAAAUCACCCACGGAGGAGAAGCCAGCCUCAGAGGAUGAAUGGGAAAGGACGGAGCGUGAGCGUCUCCAGGACUUGGAAGAACGGGAUGCCUUUGCAGAGCGGGUUCGGCAACGGGACAAGGACCGGACCCGGAAUGUCCUGGAACGGUCAGAUAAGAAGGCCUAUGAAGAGGCUCAGAAGCGCCUCAAGAUGGCUGAGGAAGAUCGGAAAGCCAUGGUCCCUGAGCUCCGUAAGAAGUCUCGUCGGGAAUACCUGGCGAAGCGGGAGCGAGAAAAACUGGAGGACCUGGAGGCGGAACUGGCUGAUGAGGAGGUCCUGUUUGGGGACGUGGAGCUGAGUCGCCAUGAGCGCAGGGAGCUCAAGUACAAGCGACGUGUGCGGGACCUGGCUCGGGAGUACCGGGCAGCCGGAGAGCAGGAGAAGCUGGAGGCCACUAAUCGCUACCACAUGCCCAAGGAGACCCGAGGGCAGCCAGCUCGAACUGUGGACAUCGUUGAGGAGGAAUCGGGUGCGCCGGGAGAGGAGCAGCGGCGCUGGGAGGAGGCCCAGCUGGGUGCUGCAUCCCUGAAGUUUGGAGCCCGAGAUGCUGCUGCGCAGGAGGCCAAGUACCAGCUGGUGCUGGAGGAGGACGAGACCAUCGAGUUUGUCCGUGCUGCUCAACUCCAGGGUGACGAGGAGCCGUCAGGCCCGCCCCUGUCAGCCCAGGCCCAGCAGAAGGAAUCUAUCCAGGCUGUGCGCCGCAGCCUGCCCGUGUUCCCCUUCCGAGAGGAGCUUCUGGCCGCCAUUGCCAACCAUCAGGUCCUCAUCAUCGAAGGCGAGACUGGCUCUGGGAAGACCACACAGAUCCCACAGUACCUCUUUGAGGAGGGUUACACAAAGAAGGGCAUGAAGAUUGCUUGCACCCAGCCCCGGAGAGUGGCGGCUAUGAGUGUGGCAGCCCGAGUGGCCCGGGAGAUGGGUGUGAAGCUUGGGAACGAGGUGGGCUACAGCAUCCGGUUUGAGGACUGCACCUCAGAGCGAACUGUUCUCCGCUACAUGACAGAUGGAAUGCUACUCCGAGAGUUCCUCUCUGAGCCUGACCUUGCAAGUUACAGUGUGGUGAUGGUGGAUGAAGCUCACGAGCGGACCUUGCACACAGACAUUCUCUUUGGAUUGAUCAAAGACGUCGCUAGAUUCCGACCUGAGCUCAAGGUCCUGGUGGCUUCAGCCACACUGGAUACUGCCCGGUUUUCUGCCUUCUUCGAUGACGCCCCUGUCUUCAGAAUCCCUGGACGCAGGUUUCCAGUUGACAUCUUCUAUACCAAGGCCCCAGAGGCUGACUACCUGGAAGCCUGCGUUGUGUCUGUGCUGCAGAUCCACGUGACCCAGCCCCCUGGAGAUAUACUGGUGUUCCUGACGGGACAGGUGUCUGCUGUGGUGGAGGAGAUUGAGGCUGCCUGUGAGAUGCUCCAGGACCGCUGCCGCAGGCUGGGCUCCAAGAUCCGGGAGCUCCUGGUGCUGCCCAUUUAUGCCAACCUGCCCUCAGACAUGCAGGCUCGCAUCUUCCAGCCCACACCCCCCGGGGCCCGAAAGGUGGUUGUGGCAACAAACAUUGCAGAAACUUCCCUCACCAUCGAAGGCAUCAUCUAUGUGCUGGACCCAGGGUUCUGCAAGCAGAAGAGCUACAACCCUCGUACGGGAAUGGAGUCACUCACGGUCACCCCCUGCAGCAAGGCUUCAGCCAAUCAGCGGGCUGGCCGUGCAGGUCGAGUGGCUGCCGGGAAGUGCUUCCGCCUGUAUACGGCCUGGGCCUAUCAGCAUGAGCUAGAGGAGACCACAGUUCCUGAGAUCCAGAGGACAAGCCUGGGCAACGUUGUGCUGCUGCUAAAGAGCUUAGGGAUCCAUGACCUGAUGCACUUUGACUUCCUGGACCCUCCUCCAUACGAGACCCUGCUGCUGGCUUUGGAGCAGCUUUAUGCCCUUGGCGCCCUCAACCACCUUGGAGAACUCACCACGGUGAGCCAGCGGCAGCACAGGCUGGGACAUCUGGUCGAAAGAUGGCAGAGCUGCCUGUGGAUCCCAUGUUGUCUAAAAUGAUCUUGGCCUCCGAGAAGUAUAGCUGUUCAGAAGAGAUCCUGACCGUGGCUGCUAUGCUGUCUGUCAACAAUUCCAUCUUCUACCGGCCCAAGGAUAAGGUUGUCCAUGCCGACAAUGCCCGUGUCAACUUCUUCCUCCCUGGUGGAGACCACCUGGUUCUGCUAAAUGUGUACACACAGUGGGCUGAGAGUGGCUACUCUUCCCAAUGGUGCUAUGAAAACUUUGUACAGUUCAGAUCCAUGCGCCGAGCCCGGGAUGUGCGGGAACAACUGGAGGGGCUCUUGGAGCGUGUGGAAGUUGGCUUGACUUCUUGCCAAGGUGACUACGUUCGUGUGAGAAAGGCCAUCACUUCGGGUUAUUUUUACCACACUGCGAGGCUGACUCGGAGCGGCUACCGCACAGUGAAGCAGCAGCAGACAGUGUUUAUUCAUCCCAACUCCUCUCUCUUUGAACAACAGCCACGCUGGUUGCUCUACCAUGAGCUUGUCUUGACCACAAAGGAAUUCAUGAGACAAGUACUGGAGAUUGAAAGCAGCUGGCUUUUGGAAGUGGCUCCCCACUACUAUAAGGCCAAGGAGCUAGAAGAUCCCCAUGCUAAGAAAAUGCCCAAAAAAGUCGGCAAGACACGAGAAGAGCUGGGCUAGAGAGUGACAUGGACCAAACCUUGCAGCUCUUUUUUCCUUCCAUACUUUAAUAUCUAGUAAAUAAAAUUAUUUUUGGAAUGAAGUGCAUGGGAACUCUGGAACCCAGAGAAAGUGACGUGAAAA